UCCCUGAUUUCAAAUAUCCUGUCCC
rnacentral:piRNA from 1 species